UUCUGUUCUCUAGUUUCUCAGUUCUGGGCUGUGGUGGGACGUGUUGUGGGUGAAUGGUUAGAAACACCGUGAUUGGACUACUGCUGUGGACUGGCUGUAGCUCGAACGAGUAUCUGGGGAAGCGAUGCUAAUGUAUGUACUCCCUACAACCCAAGAAGGUAUGAGCCAUCUGAGGGUUCUGGCCCCCAGCCCCAGUGCUGGCUGAAACGAGUAAUGCCAUUUAUUAAUCUAGCACAAUAGCAUCACCUAGGACCUGGCUGGCAAGAAGCCAGGAUCUGGGCUCCAGAAGCAGGCAGGGAAUUACUCAACCCGGGUCCUGCAGCCCUCUCACUCCCAACCCUUCACUCUCUUGGAGAGGUGAACAAUCUAGCUGGCAGGUGGCUUGUUUGUUUCUGACUCACCGCACCCCCCCCCCAACCUUAGUGGCCAGGUGGCCCGUUCCCUGUUCUCACUGUGACUUGUCCUGGGAUCAGCCUCUUGUGGUUGUGUUUUCGAACACACCACUCAUCAUCUUGCCUCUGGGAAUCCCGGCACACCUUUUAGACAUGCUCGAACAGAGAGGCUGCCAAACCAGCGUAUGGUCACACAGCAGAGCCAGUGAGAUGACGCCGCACCUGCUACGGAGUCUGACACACCUGAGCUUGAUCCUUGGGACCCACGACCUGGAAGGAGAGAACCAACACGCAUGCACGCGAAGGAAAGAACUAAAGGUGGAUCUGGGGGU